rnacentral:misc_RNA from 1 species
GUUUAGGAGUAAGACUUUCUUGGGUGGUUACAGCAUUGAUGUUCUGUAUGGUCAUACAGAAGCAGUCAGAACAGUUUUCCUUUUGGUUUCUGCUAAGCUCAUUUUUACUUCUGGGUAUGACUCCAUUGUUCGGAUGUGGGACAUGGAAGAUGGACUGUCUAUUUCAUCUUCAAGGCCCCUUGGAGGCACUAUUCGAGCAGUUGCAGCGGAUACAAAGCUUUUGGUUGCUGGUGGUACUGAUGGUUUCAUCCAAGGUUGGAAGGCAGUGGAGGGGCUCCCA